UACGUAGGGGGCAAGCUGUUCGUCGAUUUAUUGGGCGUAAAGAGCGUGUAGGCGGUCCGGUAAGUCCGCUGUGAAAGUCGGGGGCUCAACCCUCGAAUGCCGGUGGAUACUGUCGGGCUAGAGUGCGGAAGAGGCGAGUGGAAUUCCUGGUGUAGCGGUGAAAUGCGCAGAUAUCAGGAGGAACACCUAUUGCGAAGGCAGCUCGCUGGGACGUAACUGACGCUGAGACGCGAAAGCGUGGGGAGCAAACAGG
rnacentral:rRNA from 1 species